rnacentral:rRNA from 1 species
UACUUAGGUGGCAAGCGUUGUCCGGAUUGAUUGGGCGUAAAGCGAGCGCAGGCGGUUUUUUAAGUCUGAUGUGAAAGCCUUCGGCUCAACCGAAGAAGUGCAUCGGAAACUGGGAAACUUGAGUGCAGAAGAGGACAGUGGAACUCCAUGUGUAGCGGUGAAAUGCGUAGAUAUAUGGAAGAACACCAGGGGCGAAGGCGGCUGUCUGGUCUGUAACUGAAGCUGAGGCUCGAAAGUAUGGGUAGCACACAGGAGGCGAAAACCCAGUAGUCC